CUGCACCCAGAUAUGGCGACAGGGCUUCAUCCAACCUGAGGCAACAACAGAAAAUGACUUCUAACCCGGGGUCACAACAACCAACAACCAACAACCAGCAGCCUGCAAUGACUACAGGACAGACUCAAUGAAGACGGUCUUGUAUUUCUGGAUGUGGUGCUGCAGCACCGUGUGUUUGUCCUUCCUGCCCUCUGAUACCAGCUUGAGGUCCGCCUCCAAUUCAGCACGCAGGUUUGGUUUGGACAUCUCAUAGCCCAUGGAGUUGUAACCUAAACAAACGCGCAUUUGAUAAGUAACAUAUUUGAGUGAAAGGGGCAACGACAACAUCUUUAUGUAUAAAACCUACUGUAUAUUGUGGUAUGUAGUGUGUGUGUGUGUGUGUGUGUGUGCAUACCCUCCACCAGUCCCAUGCCGAGCUCUCCAGGCAGAAACCUCUGGUCAGCUGUUAAGCCCACAUACAUGCGACUCUUUAUGGUCUCGAUGUGAUCUGCAUGGGUUGCAUCUGUGCCUGUGAUAUACACCGUUCAUACAGUACAGUUUGCAUCAGACACAAAACAGUUAAUCCUGAACAAACAACUAUUCUAUGUUGACUAGACAAAAGGGUCACUAAGUUGUUGCUAGGUUUGCUUUAAGUAAAUGUUUAUCUGCUUUAACUGAAGGGGUAGCCUGGCAUCACCAAUACUAAUUUGCAAAUGUGUAUUAGUCUGGAAACUAAAAUUAAGACCUUUUGUAGGAAGCAUCAAUAUUUUAUGAGGAACAACAUACAUUAAAAACAGUAUCGUGUGUGUGUGUGUGUGUGUUUGUGUGUGUUUGCACUGUACCAAUGCCGUGUUUCUCCAUCAGGGAUAUGAGGUCGGCUUCAGUGAGCAGCUGCGGAGGACUCGUUUGUCCAUCCACCAUCUCGAUAGCAGAGGGCUGGAACUGGGAGCCUUGCUCAUACACUGGGAUCACCUAGCACACAUACGAAGCAGGUUUACUGCACAUAUCACACACAAGCAGCACGGACCACACACAACGUACUUCAUAAAAGCGAGCUGAACUCUACAUUGUCCUCCCCCACCUCGUGCAGCACUGAGACAAAGACAGACAUGACAGAGGGGAUGAAGUGGGGGGUGAGUAUCAGUUUAAAACACAAAUACUAUUGAUCUGUGUGUCUGUGCACGGAUGACUUUGUACCUUUGAUCUUGUAGAAAGUCUCGGGUAUGAAAGCCUGGAUGGCUUUGAAGCGCUCCACAACAAAGCCCAGAGUGGGAAACUGACA